AGGGUUCGAUUCUGGCUCAGGAUGAACGCUGGCGGCGUGCUUAACACAUGCAAGUCGAGCGAAGCGCUUGCGACAGAACCUUCGGGGGAAGAUGUAAGGGACUGAGCGGCGGACGGGUGAGUAACGCGUGGGUAACCUGCCUCAUACAGGGGGAUAACAGUCGGAAACGGCUGCUAAUACCGCAUAAAGCAUUGAAUUCGCAUGUUUUCGAUGCCAAAGGAGCAAUCCGCUUUUAGAUGAGCUCGCGUCUGAUUAGCUAGUUGGCGGGGUAACGGCCCACCAAGGCGACGAUCAGUGGCCGGACUGAGAGGUUGAACGGCCACAUUGGGACUGAGACACGGCCCAG
rnacentral:rRNA from 1 species